rnacentral:lncRNA from 1 species
CACACACACACACACGCACACACACACACACACACACACACACACACACACACACACGCACACAGAAAAUAAACAACAUCAUUAUGAAAGGCUGGUGGGGACAACCUAGCUCAAGUUUAAACAAAAAAGUGUACACACAUAUUUCCACAUACCUGUAUGCAACUAGCCUUAGGCAAACAUGUCUCUCCACACUCUCACACAGCCAUUGACAUGAUGCCGACGAACAACACACAGUAGAAACUGGACAGAGGCAGGAGUACUAACACAGAGCACACAAGUCUUUCUAAGGGAACAGGAAUGUCCUCUUACUUCACCAGAGGCUGGUAAACAUUGUAAAUCCACCUGAAAGCCAACAGCCCCAGGGCAGGGAGACUCUCUAUGUCAACACUACAUACACACCUCUUCCACUGAAAUCGUGGUACUACCAUGUCACCUGUCCUUCACCUCUCCCUCACAACACCACAAACAUCCCAAGAAUGGCUCUCCAAGGACAAGCACAGUACACCUCUCCCUAGCCAGGCGCAUGUCUCUGUCUUUUUGAUAUCACUCAUUAUUUAUUUUCCUUCUUCUCUAUCUUACAUCACUCUCUCUGACUGACAGUUUUCCUGGACUGCAGAAUGGAGAAUCGUUUCGUGUAUCCAGCUUCUUGACAGUCAGACUGUAGAUGAACUUCUAGCUGGAGCAUUGACUGACAAAGCAUUCCAUUUACUGAGGUCAAAGACAUACUUCUACAUACCGUUAGGCGUGCGUAUGCUGCCAGCUUGACACACCAACACACAGGCAAUAUGCUCACUCAAUCUCCAUUCUUACCCACCCACUCUGCACUAACCCUUCCUGAGUUAUAGAAAUCCGUCUAGUGUGAGGCAAAUGAAAUUGAAGACAUUUUCGGGUCACAGUAAAGGAGUACGGACAAAAACACAUACAGUACAUGGCUAACAAACAUCAGACAGGGACAAUGCUACAUUCACUUGGCACAACAAUGGGAGAGAAAACGUAUAAACAAAGACAACUACUGCACAUACAGUACGAUUCCAAGGGCAACAGGAAUCACUAUCCUGGUAGAUAAGAACUGGGACUACCUGAACUAGAAAUAAAAAACACUCAAUCCAAUUUAAACAACAAUGUGGAAUUGCCACAAUCUCUGCUGUCCCCUCCAUCUAAAUACUACUUUAUUUUAACCUCACACACUUUAGUACAACUUGAAUACAACCUUAUAACAAGCCACUAUAUUGUAUUAUACAUUAGGCUGAAUCUCCUGACUGCAUUCCCCUUACUUUGAGUCCUGUCCUCUACCACCUACCUGUCCUGCCCACUGCGCCUCUCACCUCUCCAACUAACCUGACACACUGCUCUGAUUGUAAAGCUGACCUAAGCAGACAUUGCAGAUCGGGUGAAUGUGGCUUCCUGUAUGUGUGUGUGUGUGUGAUUAUUUUGUUUACUCCUAAAACAAGAAAAACAAACUGUGGUGAAUCUCUGGGUUCACUUAACACUCAUCUCAACACGCAAGCAUCCCCACUGGAGCAUGAACACUGUUACUUAAUAUGUCUCUAACAGAAAAUAAAAAGUGAGUGUGUGUGUGUGGGAACCAGAGUUCAGAAGGAAACUGUGCUAGGGGGAAGAAAAAGGCAGUUGCACAUGUAAGGCCAGGCCAUUGAUAGAAGGUAGCUAGCGGUUGCUGAGGGUAAACUAACUAACUGGUUGCUGAGGUUCUAGAGAGGGUAUGACAGAGGCUGGCUGGCCAUGGAUACCUGAACUAGGAGUCAGAGGUUAGAGGUCACUAGUGGGUGUAGCAUCAUGGGUACUGUAGUCCUUACUGGACAGUCUGUCACUGCAUAUGUGAACAUCUCCCUGAAUUUUUUGAAUGGCAGGCCGUGCAACUGCAACAACUUAAUAGGAAUUGAAAGUUGCUGAAAUGACUAGGCUGGUAUGUUAACGGCUGAUUGAAUUCUUUGAAGGGUGUAUGUGAGCCUGUAUGUGUAUUUGUGUGUGUGUGUGUGUGUGUGUGUGUGUGUGUCUCUUUAUUUUGGUUCUAACAUUGAGGGAGAAGGUUUUUAUUGCAGAGAGCUUCUAGAAGGAACGAUUGACAUGUUAUAGCCAGCCAGAGAGAGAGAUGAGAGGAAAGGCUUUUAACUAGUGUGCUCUCUAGAGACAUAGCUUCACCCCCCAUCUGUGGCUGGCCAUAAAAGGGAGGUAUGAGAGGAGGAGCACUCUAAUGGUUAUAAUGUAUGCUUGUUGUCUGACUAUUAGUAUUGGAAAGCAGCCUACACACAACUGCCAUGAUGCUAUGCAUUUGCACUAGAAAACAUUACCUGAAAGGGUUUGAUUGUUGAGUGGUGUGUGUGUCAUUGUUUUGCUGUAUUUUCCCAUAAUGAGAGUUUAGGAGGGGUAAGUCAGUCAGAACAAUACUUAACUCAACCAGGGUCUCAUUUUGGUUCAAUGUGUAUGAAUGCAAAACCAUUUACAGAUGCCGUAUCUUAAUUUGAGCCAGUUUCACAGAGCAGGAAAAUAAUCCUGCAGCAACAUCCUGCAGCAAAUGAUAAUUUUUUAUGUAGAGUAUAAU